rnacentral:lncRNA from 1 species
AGCUGUUUGGCCAGAUUCCAUUUCAACUUCUGCCAAACAAUCAACUGACUUUGCCAAGACCUCAAUGUACUCCUAAAAGUUGCAAGGUGAUUAUUCAAAGGAAGUAGACAAAACGGGAAUGAAAUUAGGCAAACAGGACAUUUGAGAAACUGUCGAAGAUUCCCGUGUGGUGCAAACUCGACAACGACAAACAGAGGGCCUGAAACACAUUACUUAUGGAAAUUAUUAGUCAGAGAUGAUAAUCUGGUAAGCUAAGGUGGCGGCCACGGACGAGGAUAGACCUAAUCAGCACGUCAUCGCUCACAGGGCACACAUGUAGCUCAUGGGUCGCACAGAGAGAGAUUCCAACAGCCACAUGGGAUAUGUUGCUGGGGUGGUUACUGGCUACCCGCAUAAGCGACAGUGGUAAUGACGGCUGUUAUUCUAAGGCACGUUGCAGUUCUUAACCAUUUAACUCCUAAGAGUGGCUAAGAAGUGAUCCUUCUAACCAUAUCAUUACAUUGCCAAGCAAAAGGUGAUUG